rfam:Oryza brachyantha chromosome 12, whole genome shotgun sequence.
GGGCCUAGUGAUGAGAAUAUAUCAAUUAUCUCACGAUGGUCUGCUGAGAAUUCUUUGAUUUGAUAAAUAUUCUCUGAAGCCC